rnacentral:rRNA from 1 species
AAAAGCUCGUAGUUGGAUUUCUGUGGAGGACGGCCGGUCCGCAUUUUGUGCGUGUAUCUGGUACGGCCUUUGCAUCCUCUUGUGGAACGUUACGGUGCUUGAUUGCAUUGUGCGGAAUGCAAGACUUUUACUUUGAGGAAAUUAGAGAGUUCACGGCAGGCAUGCGCCUUGAAUAUAUUAGCAUGGAAUAAUAAUAUAGGCUCCUCGCCCUAUUUUGUUGGUUUCUAGAGCGAAGAGAAUGGUUAAUAGGGAUAAUUGGGGGCACUCGUACUAGAGCGUCAGAGGUGGAAUUCUUAGAUUGCUCUAUGACGAACUACUGCGAAAGCAUUUGCCAAGGAUGUUUUCAUUGAUCAAGAACGAAAGUUUGGGGAUCGAAGAUGAUUAGAUACCAUCGUAGUCCAAACCAUAAACUAUGCCAACUAGGGAUUGGAGGGCGUUCUCUUUACGACUCCUUCAGCACCUUAUGAGAAAUCAAAGUCUUUGGGUUCCGGGGGGGAGUAUGGUCGCAAGGCUGAAACUUAAAGGAAUUGACGGAAGGGCACCACCAGGAGUGGAGCCUGC